rnacentral:rRNA from 1 species
GACGAACGCUGGCGGCGUGCUUAACACAUGCAAGUCGAACGGAAAGGCCUCUUUCGGGGGGUACUCGAGUGGCGAACGGGUGAGUAACACGUGAGUAACCUGCCCUUGACUUUGGGAUAACUUCAGGAAACUGGGGCUAAUACCGGAUAGGAGCUCCUGCUGCAUGGUGGGGGUUGGAAAGUUUCGGCGUUUGGGGAUGGACUCGCGGCUUAUCAGCUUGUUGGUGGGGUAGUGGCUUACCAAGGCUUUGACGGGUAGCCGGCCUGAGAGGGUGACCGGCCACAUUGGGACUGAGAUACGGCCCAGACUCCUACGGGAGGCAGCAGUGGGGAAUAUUGCACAAUGGGUGGAAGCCUGAUGCAGCAACGCCGUGUGCGGGAUGACGGCCUUCGGGUUGUAAACCGCUUUCGCUCAUGACGAAGCUUUGUGUGACGGUAGUGGGUAAAGAAGCACCGGCUAACUACGUG